GCCUUCGUGAUGUAACAGUAGCACACUCGGCUGGUAUUCGAGAAGUCCAAGUUCGAGUCUCGGAGAAGGCA
rnacentral:tRNA from 1 species